GAUGAACGCUGGCGGCGUGCCUAAUACAUGCCAGUCGAGCGAACAGACGAGGAGCUUGCUCCUCUGACGUUAGCGGCGGACGGGUGAGUAACACGUGGAUAACCUACCUAUAAGACUGGGAUAACUUCGGGAAACCGGAGCUAAUACCGGAUAACAUGUUGAACCGCAUGGUUCAACAGUGAAAGACGGUCUUGCUGUCACUUAUAGAUGGAUCCGCGCCGCAUUAGCUAGUUGGUAAGGUAACGGCUUACCAAGGCAACGAUGCGUAGCUGACCUGAGAGGGUGAUCGGCCACACUGGAACUGAGACACGGUCCAGACUCCUACGGGAGGCAGCAGUAGGGAAUCUUCCGCAAUGGGCGAAAGCCUGACGGAGCAACGCCGCGUGAGUGAAGAAGGUCUUCGGAUCGUAAAACUCUGUUAUUAGGGAAGAACAAAUGUGUAAGUAACUAUGCACGUCUUGACGGUACCUAAUCAGAAAGCAACGGCUAACUACGUG
rnacentral:rRNA from 1 species